AUUCUUUCACUCUCUGUCUCUCUCCAAAAAAAGUAGUAGUAGCAUUCUUUUCCGUAAUAGCACAAAUUCCGGAAAAUCAUAAGAAGAACCACUACAGAAACCCACAACCCGACCCGUGCGUUUUGAUUAACCAAUGGAUAUUAACGGAUCUGCUCGUUUCCGUCACCGGAAAACGCCGUCAACUGAUAGAUUCUUAGGCGCAUAUCCCCGUACGUCGCAGGAGCCGUCAUCCGCUUCCGUCAACACAGCAAACGACAACUUCAUUGAAGAAAACGAGCUAAACGAAGACGAUAUAUUCUCCACCGGAGACUUCUCCGAAUCAUCGAAUAACCACCACCACAACCAAAAUCACUUCCACAACAGCCCUCCUUCCUCCACUGCAUCUCCGCGGCAGCAUCUCAAAACGGCGUUUUCACAGCAGGACUCGUUCGGAAUCUUAGCGGCGCUACCGGAACAUAAAAUCAACUCUCAUAGCCAUCUAUAUCAGAAAACAGCGAUUUCCUCCCCGUCUUCAUCGACGUCAUCGUCAUCAACGACCUCCUCGUCACGUUUUAUUCCUACAAUUCCGAAACCUCCGCAGGAACGGUUGCCGAUUUAUUCGUCGUCGUUUUCCGGUAAGUUUCAUACCCAUCCUCAGUCGGCGCCUGUGAAUGUGCCAAUGAUGGCGAUGGCGAUGAGGAGCAGGAAGCAUAAGGAGUUUGAUGAGAUAGAUGAGGACGAGGAGGAAGGUGACGGCGAGAUGCUUCCGCCGCACGAGAUGGUGGCUAGGCAACAGUCUCCGCUGGUAGCGUGUUCAGUGUUGGAAGGUGUUGGAAGGACGCUUAAAGGCAGGGAUCUUAGACAGGUAUGUAAUUGAGUCAUUGUCGAAGCACUUUCAAGCUCAAUUCUACUCUAAGUUCGAAACUCAACUCAAAUUCGACUUAUUCACAAAUCACGGCAGAAGAUUGGAGUAUGUUGAUGUCAUUGAAUACGCUGGAAGUCCCUAGGUAUGACUUCUGCUGUAACUAUUUCACAUAGUUAUUGAUUUCAAGUGGAAAACUAGCGAAAUUCAAAGAUAAUGUUUAAGAUGAGACAAGUUUGCAAAAAUUUGUUGAGAUGGGAAAAGAUUGAAACGCCCGUCUUAGGUGUAAAAAUAUAUACUGUAAAUCAUCAUGAUUCUUGACUAUUGAAUGUUUGCAUUUAGUCCUCAGAAGGUGUAUAGAAUGUUUGUUAAGAUAGGUAAUUUGAAGUCUUUGACUCGGUCUUUUGGCUCCUAUUGCUAUGUCGUUUAUUCACUGAAACUUUACCAACUGGUUGAGUACAUUAUGUUUCAGCGUUUCGAUGGUG